GAUGAACGCUGGCGGCGUGCCUAAUACAUGCAAGUCGAGCGAACAGACGAGGAGCUUGCUCCUCUGACGUUAGCGGCGGACGGGUGAGUAACACGUGGAUAACCUACCUAUAAGACUGGGAUAACUUCGGGAAACCGGAGAUAAUACCGGAUCAUAUAUUGAACCGCAUGGUUCAAUAGUGAAAGACGGUUUUGCUGUCACUUAUAGAUGGAUCCGCGCCGCAUUAGAUAGUUGGUAAGGUAACGGCUUACCAAGGCGACGAUGCGUAGCCGGCCUGAGAGGAUGAUCAGACACACUGGAACUGAGACACGGUCCCGACCUCUAAGGGAGGCAGCAGUUAGGAAUACUGCACAAUGGGCGGAAGCCUGAACCAGCCAUCCCGGGUGGGUGAAGAAGGGUUUCCGGUUGUAAAAACCUUUUGUUAGGGAAGAACAAAUGUGUAAGUAACUAUGCACGUCUUGACGGUACCUAAUCAGAAAGCCACGGCUAACUACGUG
rnacentral:rRNA from 1 species